GAUGAACGCUGGCGGCGUGCCUAAUACAUGCAAGUCGAGCGAACGGACGAGAAGCUUUCUUCUCUGAUGUUAGCGGCGGACGGGUGAGUAACACGUGGAUAACCUACCUAUAAGACUGGGAUAACUUCGGGAAACCGGAGCUAAUACCGGCUAAUAUUUUGAACCGCAUGGUUCAAAAGUGAAAGACGGUCUUGCUGUCACUUAUAGAUGGAUCCGCGCUGCAUUAGCUAGUUGGUAAGGUAACGGCUGACAAAGGCAACGAUGCAUAGCCGACCUGAGAGGGUGAUCGGCCACACUGGAACUGAGACACGGUCCAGACUCCUACGGGAGGCAGCAGUAGGGAAUCUUGCGCAAUGGGCGAAAGCCUGACGGAGCAACGCCGCGUGAGUGAUGAAGGUCUUCGGAUCGUAAAACUCUGUUAUUAGGGAAGAACAUAUGUGUAAGUAACUGUGCACAUCUUGACGGUACCUAAUCAGAAAGCCCCGGCUAACUACGUG
rnacentral:rRNA from 1 species